UCUCGUAAAAAUCAUAUAUAUAUCCCAAGAAGAGCUGGGACUUAAGUGACUAAAUUUAGCUUAUUUUUUUUCCCCCACUGAAAUACUGUGCUCUGUUUGUCUUUUGUGACUUUUGUUUUACACAUUUGGAUUCUCCAUCCCAAUCAGAUUUGAUUCAGAGUGGCCAUCGCAUUUGAAAAAUGGACAGACAUUUUAACCCUUUAGACAAUUGUGUUUCAACUGUCCUGUCAGGGCAGCUUACUAAGAGUAAGAAAAAUUUUACUUUGAAAGUAAAGUGUAUUCAUCACAUUCCAAUGAAAAUUGGACUGAAAAUGAGGCUGUGGAUUUGAUUUAAAUCGGC
rnacentral:lncRNA from 1 species